AUUGAACGCUGGCGGCAUGCUUCACACAUGCAAGUCGAACGGUAGCAGGCCUUCGGGUGCUGACGAGUGGCGAACGGGUGAGUAAUGCAUCGGAACGUACCCAGAGGUGGGGGAUAACGCAGCGAAAGCUGUGCUAAUACUGCAUGUGAUCUGAGGAUGAAAGCGGGGGACCGAGCAGCAAUGUUUGGCCUCGCGCCUUUGGAGCGGCCGAUGUCGGAUUAGCUAGUUGGUGGGGUAAAGGCCUACCAAGGCGACGAUCCGUAGCUGGUCUGAGAGGACGACCAGCCACACUGGGACUGAGACACGGCCCAGACUCCUACGGGAGGCAGCAGUGGGGAAUUUUGGACAAUGGGCGCAAGCCUGAUCCAGCAAUGCCGCGUGCGGGAAGAAGGCCUUCGGGUUGUAAACCGCUUUUGGCAGGAACGAAACGGUGUCCGCUAAUACCGGGCGCUAAUGACGGUACCUGCAGAAUAAGCACCGGCUAACUACGUG
rnacentral:rRNA from 1 species